rnacentral:rRNA from 1 species
CGGGAGGCAGCAGUGGGGAAUUUUGCGCAAUGGGCGAAAGCCUGACGCAGCAACGCCGCGUGAGUGAUGAAGGCUUUCGGGUCGUAAAGCUCUGUCGAGGGGAAAGAAGUGUAUUGUGGCUAAUAUCCACGAUACUUGACGGUACCCCUAAAGGAAGCACCGGCUAACUCCGUGCCAGCAGCCGCGGUAAUACGGGGGGUGCAAGCGUUGUUCGGAUUUAUUGGGCGUAAAGAGCGUGUAGGCGGUUUGUUAAGUCUGUUGUGAGAGCCCUGGGCUCAACCCAGGAAGUGCACUGGAUACUGGCAGACUUGAAUACGGGAGAGGGUAGUGGAAUUCCUAGUGUAGGAGUGAAAUCCGUAGAUAUUAGGAGGAACACCGGUGGCGAAGGCGGCUACCUGGACCGAUAUUGACGCUGAGACGCGAAAGCGUGGGUAGCAAACAGGAUUAGAUACCCUGGUAGUCCACGCCGUAAACGAUGAGAACUAGGUGUUGCGGGUAUUGACCCCUGCAGUGCCGCAGCUAACGCAUUAAGUUCUCCGCCUGGGAAGUACGGUCGCAAGACUAAAACUCAAAGGAAUUGACGGA